UGAGUCGAAUGGUGAGUCACUGCAUGCAUCGCCACAUGGUCAGUUGCCUUGGAUGAAAGGAGUUGUUGUCUGUAAUGUCGAAUCCCGAUUCUGCCACAAUAUUCUUUGGAGUAUGACUGAUCAACCACUUUGUCAUCUUUGAGCUGUCGUAUCAGCAAAAAGAUUUGGUGUCAGACGUCAUUUGCAGAAGGUGAACCGAUGCCAGGUGUUAUAUCGGGAAGGCGAACCGGUAUCGUGCGAUUUG
rnacentral:lncRNA from 1 species